rnacentral:rRNA from 1 species
GGGUGUGUAAGCGUUGUGAGGCGUUGAGCUAACCAGUACUAAUUGCCCGUGAGGCUUGACCAUA